rnacentral:rRNA from 1 species
AGCAGCCGCGGUAAUUCCAGCUCCAAUAGCGUAUAUUAAAGUUGUUGCAGUUAAAAAGCUCGUAGUUGAAUUUCGAGACCGGUUUAUUGGUCGUGCUUUUGUACGUACUGGUAUUAUUGGUUUCUCCUUUCUGACGAAUCUUAAUGCCAUUAAUUUGGUGUUUUGGGGAAUCAGGACUGUUACUUUGAAAAAUUAGAGUGUUUAAAGCAGGCUCACGCUUGAAUACAUUAGCAUGGAAUAACGGAAUAGGACGUUUGAUUCUAUUUUGUUGGUUUCUAGGAUCGACGUAAUGAUUAAUAGGGAUAGUUGGGGGCAUUAGUAUUCAAUUGUCAGAGGUGAAAUUCUUGGAUUUAUUGAAGACUAACUACUGCGAAAGCAUUUGCCAAAGGAUGUUUUCAUUAAUCAAGAACGAAAGUUAGGGGAUUCGAAGACGAUCAGAUACCGUCGUAGUCUUAACCAUAAACUAUAGCCGACUAGGGAUCGGAUGAUGUUAAUUUUUAAUGACUCAUUCUGCGCCUUA